rnacentral:rRNA from 1 species
UACGUAGGGCGCAAGCGUUGUCCGGAAUUAUUGGGCGUAAAGAGCUCGUAGGCGGCCAGUUGCGUCUGCUGUGAAAUCCCGGGGCUCAACCCCGGGCGUGCAGUGGAUACGGGCUGGCUAGAGGCAGGCAGGGGAGAACGGAAUUCCCGGUGUAGCGGUGAAAUGCGCAGAUAUCAGGAGGAACACCGAUGGCGAAGGCAGGUCUCUGGGCCACUACUGACGCUGAGAAGCGAAAGCAUGGGGAGCGAACAGG